AUGUCCAGCAUUGCUGUCCAGCAGAGUACUCAACUCAGAGCCCUGAUCAAUGACAGGGGGAACCAGGCAGAGAAGGAUUCAUGGAAAUUUUAUUGGGGUGGCUCUAACUAUUCCAAUAAAAGAAUAUACCUGGAAUAUAUUGGGAACCCUGCUGAUCCACCCAAGCCAUUUCAGUGGAUAUGGAAAUCAUGCACCCUAGCUAAGCAAAAGUUUUUCUUCUGGUUGCUUCUACAGGACAGACUAAACACUAGAGAUUUGCUUACAAGGAAAAAUUUCCAUAUUGAGUCUACAAGAUGUGUGCUAUGUGAUGAUGAACUAAAGGAAUACCUUACUCAUCUUUUCUUUAGUUGUGAUUUCAGCCAGAAUUUCUAGAUGGCUAUUGGAUUUCAAUGGAACACAGAUUUUGAGCUUUUGAAGAUGCUCGUGGAGGACAAGAAUUUUGGGGCGGAGGGAGUAUGUUAUAAGGAAUGCCUCAUAGCAGGAUGUUGGAGUAUUUGGAAGCACAAAAACAGCAUCAUCUUUGAUCACAAACCCAAAAAUAUGCAAUAUUGCAUUAGUACUUCCAAGGAGCACUUUGAGAUGAUCAUUAAAAAAGUCAAACCUAGUUUGAAAGAAGGGAUGCAGAGUUGGCUAGAUUACUUGUAG
rnacentral:rRNA from 1 species